rnacentral:lncRNA from 1 species
GCUGGAGAAAUGACCCUUUGUCAUUUAUUCAUUCAUUCAACAAAUAUUUACCAAACAGCUGCUUCAUGGCAGGUACUGUGCUGGGCACCAGGAGCACAUUGGUCACUGUCCUUGUGGCACUUUCUAUCCGGUGGGGGAAAUAGGAUCAUUAUUAAAAUGACUGCACAAAUAAGAAUGAAAUAACUGUGCUAAAUGCUACGAAAGAAUAUACAGUACCAUGAAAGUAUAUAAUCGGGGGACUUGGCUGAGUCUAAGGAGUUGAGGAUGAGUUUGCAAGGGAGACGGAGAAAGAGCAGCCACAGUGGUAGGAGAAUUGGCAGUGACAUCGCAGAAUCCAAGGAGGAGGUGGUCAGCUGUGCCGAGAGAUGCUGCGAGCUUGCGAGACACCUAUUUGCCCUGACUCUUCACCUGCUAGUUGUGAGUACAGGUAUGGAGAGGCUCUGGCAUCAUGCCUGGCUCACAGUUGGUGCUCUGUAAUGUUAGCUCCCUUUCCCCCCUCCCUAAGCUGAGCCUCCCUCCAGGGACCCCAGAUUUCUGGAACAAAGGAAUUGCCUAGGCUCGGCCUCCUCUGUCAACUCAGGCUCCAAACCCCAGCCAUCCAGUCCUCAGUGAGGGACUCUGGGCCUUUCCCUGCUUCUCCACAUUAGUCCCGUCGCAUAGAGCUCCACCAUCCCCCAACCUGCUCUUCCUUUGCACUGGUCUUCCAUGAAGAGCUGCUGGGGUCUAGGUCUCAGAGAAAGAUGCUGUCUGGUUCUGCUUCUGGGGCUGAGUCUGAGAAGAGAGCUGGAAUCCUCAGCAGCUCCCAAAGCUGCCCGGGGUGAAUCUGAGUGUCUUAGGUAGGGAGAGGGAGUAGUUGGGAGAUGAGGAGGGGGGCUGCCCACCCAAGGCGGCGUAGAGCCCAGAGCCUUUUCCAUUGCAGACACCCCAUCUGUCUCCCACAGAAGGCUUGGGUUGGAGGAGGUGCUGAGAAGGGGGGUAUAGAGGGUGAAACUGUACAGUCUGUAAGCCAGAACAAUGGCAGUGAAGGUGCUGCCGGGGGAGAAGGGAGUGGAGGGUCAGCCUGGGGUAUCAGUGGGAAGAAGAACUAGAGGUCAGAGGUUGGGAAUGAAGAUCCAGGAGGCGGGUACGAACACUGGGCCACUAUUCUCCCCAGACAGCUUUGUGUUUGAUUUUGAUUUAAAGCUCCCUACCAACCAGAGGGCAAGGAAUCACAUCCUUCUGACCCAAAAACUAAUGGCCUUUCUAAGCCCAAGGCCAGGUUCGAUUCAUGAUGACUCCCUCUUCCCAGCAGUCAGACCUUUGCCAGACCUUAAAAUGAUAUUUUAGUCAAAUCUGAUAGCUUCCAAGGCGUUUCCUUUCAUAUAUUACUUUAACGGAUGCAGCUAAAGUCCAGGGAGGUGAAUGUUAUUACUACUCUUGAUCUACAGAUGAAGCAACAGGGGUUUACAAGAUUAAGUGAAUAACUUGGAUCACAGGAAAGUAAGGAGAGGGCCCCAAACCCGGGUCUCCUGACCAGACCGGAAAUGGUCAGGUCAGAGGUGUAGGGCAAGGUGUCGGGAGGGAAGAUACCAGUCCGGGAAGCAGCUCUGUUGGUGUCCAUUCUGGGUCCUGAGUAGACCCUUUGGGAAUCCCCGUGGACAUCUUCUCCCCACAUUCCAAGCUCUAAACACUAUUUUUUCCCUCUACCUAUACUUACGAGAAUAUGAUCCCAUAGCUUCCCUACCUACUGCAGGUUUUUUCUUUCUCCCACUCUUGUUUGGAAGUUCUUCCUCAGGUGUAACUUUAUAAGGCUGCAGCUUAUUCCCUCUAAAACAGAUGCCAAGGGAACCCAAGACAGGGCUUCAGCUAUUAAAUAUAAAUAGACAAGGGAGGGAAACUGAAUAUAGAGACAGAUAUUAUAUCUCUCAGUCCCUGCGAGUUAUUAGGAAGAAGGAGCUGGUGGUUGCUAAGCAACAGGUCUCCACAGAGGACAAGGCACCUAGAGGAAAAAGCCUCCUUUGACUGAAUAUUGGGGUGAGAGGGUAGGGAAGGUGGGGGUCAAAGGGCUACAGACUGGCAGGUGGGCCUUGGUGGUGGUGGGAAAAAUGGCUCUGGCUCAUUUAUCCAAGACCAGCCCUAUCCCCCAGGCCUCAGCAAACUCCGCCUUUGUAGCCUUCAGGAUUGGUGGAAGAAGGAAGGCCUCAGGCACUCCUCCCUUCCUGCCAGGAGGAGGGAACCUGGUUUCUAUAGCAACCCAGAAACAAUCCUGGCCUUGUUUUACUUAUGGCUUCUCUGUAACCCUCUCAUGGAGCACAACUUUCGUACACUCCUGUCUCUGACCCUCAAUUUCUGAUUUGAGGGGGAGGGUCCAUGGAGGGAUCAUGGAAAGGUUGGGAGUGGGGAUGCCACAAAGCUAGUCACACUUGGCCCUAAAGUGACCUAUUAAAACCCUAAAGGGGGAGUGACUUUUAGGGGAAAGGGCUUCCAGAUGCACCUCCUAAGGGGCUGAAGAAAGCAGGGGAAAAUCCUGGCAUCAGAUGCAAAUUCUGGGCCCAGGCUUCCUUUCUGAAGGGCAAAUAUAAACUGAGGGGUUGGAGGUCAAGAAGAAUGAGGAGGCAGGGUCUUUUUUUGGCCCUUGGCCACCUAGUCCCUCAUCCUCCUAGAUCUGAGGUCCACUGUCGUCAAGCCCCGAGAAUGGAGAUAUAGAACAUUAACGUACGUCAAGUAUAAGUGAGUGGCACCGAGGGGCAUAAUCUGUUUUUCUAAUAUGACCACAAGCAGAGUGUUAGAAGAAUUAGGCCGACAGCUGCUGGUUUCCCCCCUCCCUUCCUACCCCCCCUUCCCGCUCUCCCUCUCCCUUCCUCCUCGGCGUUUGCACACACCAAUGGCAGCGGAGCCCUGCUCGCGAUUUCUCUUAAUCUUCCUCCGCCAUCCUGCGUUCUUUCCGCAGGCGGUGCUGCGAAGCCGGCAGAGCCCCGCGUCACACCUUACUGCUCUCUGAGAUUGCUCCACAGAGAGCUCAAGGAGAUGGCAAUUCGGCGCUGAUGCCGGCUGGCAGCAGUUGGGAGAGGGGAAGGAGAGAGGGAGGAAGGGGGGGGAAGUUGGCACAGAUACCAAGUUUUUCCCUAGAGAGACAUGGUUGGGGGGGGGGGGUAGAGAAGAAGGGAGAAAAUGACACAGAGAAAAGGAAACAAGGAAAAAAGAGGCAAAGAGAGAGGGCACGAGAGAAUUAAAGUUCUCUCAGACAUUCACAUGUGGGCAUCCUCAGCCCGUCUCACUCACAGCCCUCUAAAGAUCACACCACCCUGUCCGGGGUUCCCACUCUCACCCCCGAUCCCGGUCACAAAUGCACACACGCGUAUACACACGCACACACUCCCAACCAACCUGGAAGUCAAAGCGGCAGAGGCAUGUUGUGUGUAUCGGUGUAAGAGUGUGUGUGUGUGUGUGUGUGUGUGUAUGUGUGUACGCCUGUAUGUUGUCUCUGUUUUGGAUCGCAGUAGAAUGCAGUAUGUAAAUGAGAUGGUUAUUACCGCAAUGUUCAUCAAGCUGAGCCGAGAAGACAUUAAUAGCCUGAUGAAUAUGCAUGUGAAUUUGUUAAUUAAGUUAAUUAUUCUGCUGAAAAUGCAUUCGUCUUCCAAGGACAUUUUCCCAAUGAUUUUUACAUGCUCUAGCCAUUAGUCAUGCUAUAUUUUAUCAGGGAAAUGAGUUUGCUUAAGUUGUAAAAAAAAAAAAAGAGAGAGAGACUGAGAGCAGGAAGAGAAAUAGAGAAAGGAAGGAAGAGGGAAAAAAUGAAAGAAGAGAGGGGAAAAUGUGUUGAAGUUGAGGAUGGGAAGGCAUCUGAGGCCAGCCUGAAGUUUGAGGCCCAGCUGGGCUUUUGAAGCCUGCCCUCGAUUUUUAUGGGUAUCUCACUUCACAAUUUUUGCCCCUUUUUUUGAUGACAAACUUUUUUUUUUCCAGUGCCAAAUUUCCAACACAUUAAUUAAUUGUUGUAGCCAAUUAACUGUAGUUGUGCAAAUGAGUUUAGCACUAAUUACCAUGCAGUGCCUGUAAUCACAUAAAAAACUUGCUGAGAGAGGGAGAGAGAGAGAGAGAGAAAGAGAAAGAAGAGAAAGGAGGAAUGGGAAGGGAGCGGUGGCAGGAGAGGAGGGUACCUGCAGCAGAGGGGCAGCCAAGGAAAGGGAAGAGACAGGGAUCCUGAGGCUUCCUGGUUAGGCUUCAAGGGAAGGUCUCCACAUCCAGGACCUCUGACUCAAGAAAUCUCAGUAGGAUAUGAGCCAGAAAAGCGAGGUCUCCUUUUGUCUAAGAACUUCCAACCAAAAGACCGAGGUUUAGAAUGGAUAGCUGGUUGUUUCAAUAAUGCAAUGUAGUCCCUAUAAAUCCUGAAGCUCUCAGUGUUUAUCCACCAUGGCUGGAAUUACUGGGUAAGGAUGGAGGGCACCACUGGAAGAAGAUGUGCCAUUUCUGAUAGGCCAGGGGAGAUGGAGAAGAGUGGUACGUGCUCUCAGCCUGGUUCUGGAGCUGGAAGUAGGAAGGAAAAGUUGUUUUAAGUCCAUAACCACUGGAAUAGGCCAAGGGAGCAGUGGUAAUAUCAACUGUAAAAAAUCCAGCUCCAGCAGGAGGUGGGAGGAGGCAGCCUUUGGCCAGACAUAGCUCCCAGGAGAAAAGCCAAACCUCUCCUGCAAGCUGGCAUCUCUGCAUUCAUCACUCUGGGGCUGACUCUAGGUUUCCACCUGUCAGCUUCUACCAGUGCCCAGAGGCUGAGGGAUAGACCAAAUGAUCUAUCUCCUUCUUAGUUGUCCAUGAUUGGUAGAGAAAGAGAAGUGGUAAAAAAAAGUCAGGAGUAAGCAUGGGGAGUUCCCGUCAUGGCACAGCAGUAACAAAUCCGACUAGGAACCAUGAGGUUUCGUGUUUGAUCCCUGGCUUCACUCAGUGGGUUAAGGGCCCGGUGUUGACAAGCUGUGGUGUAGGUUGUAGAUGAGGCUCAGAUCUAACGUUGCUGUGAAAUGUGAUUGUGGUGUAGACUGGCAGCUGUAGCUCUGGUUUGACCCCUAGCCGAGGAACCUCCAUAUGCCACAGGUGCGGCCCUAAAAAGCAAAAAAAAAAAAAAAAAAAGAGUAAGCAUGAACUGGCAUUUUUGCUUCCACUCUACUUUCCCCUAUAUCAUGUUCCGGGCACUAAGCCUGCCCAAAGUGUGUCUGUGUGUGUGUGUGGGGGUGUUAUAAAAAUGACCUAUAGUUCUUCACUACUACCAAAUUUUGUUUCUAGUGCAGGUAUACCUCCCUGCAUCCCUCCAGAAUAGAGAGCUUACUUGUCAUGGGACUCAAUUUCCUCAGGCCUCAACAGAAACACAUUCAACUUCAUAUUUCCAAGGAGAACCUUGACCCUUUAUUUAUCCUCUAAUAGAUACCCAAAGGCUGAGUUCUCCCUUUCCCAUUCCAGGUCCCAGGUCUGUGGCUCAUGGACUCUAUCCACUUCAGCCUUGAUCUUCCCUGACAGAGGGGAUACAAUUUCAAGAGCACAAGCCAUAUUGCCCCCUGCUUCAUGGCACUGAGCUUCUAACCUAUAAACCAAAGUCAGCUGUGAGAACUUGAAUUAACCCAGGCUGCUCCAGUGCUUUUCCUGCCUCUUACUUCUCUACCGGUUUUGCCCACAUCUAGCAACCUUAUCAAGGUCUCAGAAAGCCUGGGGUAGUAAAAAGAGCCUGAAUAUUGUCUUGAGUUACAAGAUUUUCUUUUGCCUUUUAACAGUAUGUGAUAAUGAAAAUCAAUUUUCCCUCUAUAGGAAAUGGAAAUAAUAAUAGGGACUAUGCUUGAAGGGUUAAAAAUCACUGUAAAUAUAAAACAACACUCAGCACACUAAGUAAAAUAAGCUACUUCACUAAUUGCUACUGAGUACCAAGUGAGGGUACAAAGUGUUCUUCAAUAGGUGAAUAGUUAAAGUGUGGCACAUCCACAUCAUGAAAUAAAUAAAAGGAACAAACUACAGAUACAUAACAAAAACUUGGGUGGAUCCCCAGAGAAUUAAACUGAAUGGAAAAAACCCAAUCCUAAUUUACAUAGUGUAUAACUCCAUUUUUUUUUUUUUUUUUUGGUUUUUUUUUAAGGACCACACCUGGGGCAUAUGGAGGUUCCCAGG